rnacentral:misc_RNA from 1 species
GAUGAAGAACGUAGCGAAAUGCGAUACGUAAUGUGAAUUGCAGAAUUCAGUGAAUCAUCGAAUCUUUGAACGCAUAUUGCGCUCUCUGGUAUUCCGGAGAGCAUGCUUGUUUGAGUAUCAGUAAACACCUCAACUCCCCUUUCUAUUUUGAAAUGGGAGCUGGACUUGAGUGAUCCCAACGCUUUUCUCACCGAAAAGUGGCGUGUUACUUGAAAUGCAGGUGCAGCUGGACUUUUCUCUGAGCUAAAAGCAUAUCUAUUUAGUCUGCCUAAAAAACAGAUUAUUACCUGUGCUGCAGCUAACAUAAAGGAGAUUAGUUCUUGUGCUGACUGAUGCAGGAUUCACAGAGACAGCUUCGGCUGGCCUUUGUAAACUCGAUCUCAAAUCAAGUAAGACUACCCGCUGAACUUAAGCAUAUCAAUAAGCGGAGGA